GUCUUCUUCGUCGUCGUCGUCGUCGUCAUCACUUCUGUGAGCUGAGGAGUGUUCCAGUCUGGGCGGUUGCAGCAACACCGAGGUCGAAUCCCGCACACCAACGUACGAGCUGAGAACAGGAGACUGUCUGCCGCCAUGGCAACUUCAGCCCCUUCAAGAACUGGGGAUAACUUUCCAUCAUCAGAAGAAUCAAUCGACGACUGCGCACUCUCUCCAGUCAGUUCCACAGAUGACGAGGCCCCGAACGGGCUUUGCAGCCUUAUACACAGUUUUACGACCUCAAACAAAGACUCAAGCAGCGACUACUUAGCGCUCCGAUCGGAUGACCACGUCGGCUUGGACGGUGGUACUUCUUCUACGGACAUGGUGCUGCCAUUAUCUAGCAGCUAUGUCGAAAGUCCAAUGUCUCACAACAUGCCAAGAAAAGUGUCAGCGCCACAAGGUACUAAAGCCGAUCCUUCGAAAACCUUCUCCAGCAUUGGUGAUAGCUCAUAUUCGUGGUGUUACUUGGAACUUGAGCGGCUCACAAGCACAAUCAGUAUUGGAGCUGAAUAUAGGGGAACAAUAGCAGAUCUGGAAACUCCGGAUGGUGAACUCAUGCGCAAUAAUAUCAGAAGCUCGCUGUCAUCGGAACCCAACAUUUGUCAAACAGCUUCACGAGCAACCACUGACGGGCCACAUUUCUCUUCUGCUUCAAGCAACUAUGCCAAAAUGGACCAUGUAUUCGGCACUGCUGCUCCACGUGGUACUACUGGAGAUGCGGCAACCAAUGGAAACAUUAAAUCAGGCUGGUCAACGAGAACUCACGAGAGCGCUUUUGUCCAACCGCCACUCCUUCCUACCAUGUAUGCUCACAGCCCCCACAUGAUCAUUGGAAUCGACGAUCAAAUUUAUUCUGGCAUAGUGAAGUCCCCCGUGGCGUCAGCAACAUCUACAAAAGAAAAUCGAAAGUCACAAUCGAAUGUACCGAACUGCUCAGCAUCAACAACACAUGCUCCGGUGCAGCUACCUAUGUGGUCAAGCGAUGUGAAUCCCCUUAGAGAUGACAUCGCUUCCCUAUGGGAAAAACAUGCAUUAAUCAUAGCUCGUGCAAACAACUUUGAACGCUACGAUAUGCGCAAGAAUGUAAACAUGAGUAGAUUUCGCCAACAAAAACCCUCACGGCCAGCCCCAGACGUGGAAGACCUCUGUGCACGGCCAGGUUGCAGUACGUCCGUUUCCGGUGCAGAUGCUGAAGAACUGCCGCCUGUAAAUGUUGAGGCCCAAUAUGAACGAAACCAUGGUCUACUGGCAACCGGAGAGGAAAAAGAAUGCAGUAGUGAGGAGGACUUCAGGGAGAAUGCAUUUCGUCCACUGAACACGGGCGAAGAGAUGCACGAAGCCUCACAAAACACAUGGAAUAUUGGCGGGUGCAUAGAAUUUGAUAAAGGCGUCGCAACUUCCAGCUACCGACGGCGAUUGUUAGACCCAGAACCCGCUAGCACUGCACCAGCCACCAAAAGUUCGAAGCGCAAGACUCACCAGAACCCGCAGCCCGAAAGAAAUAAGCGUACCAGGUGCUCAAGCAUAAACAAAGACGCCAUUGGGCUGCCGAUGUCGGAACUGGACAGAAAGAAGGACAAAGGCAACACAAAGGUCCAAGACGUGCCCAGUAAUCAACAAAUAAGAAUGCAUUCGAAUUCUGCAGAGAUCAACGAAGAAAUGGGCUCUACUCAUCAAUUCGACGAUAUCAGCCAUUCUCCCAUGCGUCCCAGUGCAACAGAGACAGCGCACCGUGAUGCUAGCUACUCUCGCACUGUACAUCGAAGGACCUACAAGGAAACCAGGGCCGCCAAUAACGUCGCAGUGGAUGAGCAUCUUGCAAUACCUCUUUGCCUACUGCAGCAGUACGACGACUUCUAUGCUGGCGCGACCAACAAGGACCCGCGGAUGUUGUCUGGCUGGAAACCCGGCGAACGCUUGGGAAUGAGAAGCUUCAGUAAGGGUCCAAAGUUAUUUUCUCGACCAGCACAGGACUGACUGUACAGUCUCCGUGAGCACGCGGGUACAUGCUUCUGCACUUUCGCUUGUGAACACAUAGCAAAAUACCGCGUAGCCUUCCUUCUUUUUUUUCAAAGUGGUGACAAUUGCCGAGACUGACCAAUAACUGUUUUCUAUGAUGACAAAUAACAGCUGAGCAGCAACACAAAAUACCUUUAAGCAAGUAACUCCAUGCCAAGCGAAGUCGACAGCGCAAACGCAUGUUCCCAUCUUCUCAGUUAACAAAUGGCUUAAUUUUUAAUACCUACUGAGAGCAAUCAAACAUUAAUGAAGCCUUAGCCGUCGGCUAUUCUAAAAGUUUUAACCUGUAAUUCUUCACACUAUAUUGUUUACCUUUUUUACCUAAAUCUCAUCAAACAGGCGUGAAGCGUGACGCAGAGAGAAUAAUGCGGCAGUCGAUAUGAAAACAGCACAAUGUUUCAACCUUCAUUUCCUCCCAUGUUUGUUUGUUUUUUGUAGGAGAGACACGGCUUUGGAAAAAUAUCUUGAACACAAAAAGUUCGUUGUGUAUUUUAUUUUACUAGUAACUCCGCAGCCGCGUGGUUGUGCCACCCACUUCCGCUCUGAAGAAAGUUGUUCAUUUUGUUGAAACAUGAAACUUGUAGCAACCCGAAGUAAUUGCAUGGAAAAGAAAGUAAAGGAAGUUCAGUAACGCUGUC